rnacentral:rRNA from 1 species
UACAGAGGUGGCAAGCGUUGUUCGGAAUUACUGGGCGUAAAGGGCGCGUAGGCGGUGCGGUGCGGUUUCGGUGAAAUCCCUCGGCCCAACCGAGGAACAGCCGGGGCUACGGCCGCGCUAGACGGCAUCAGGGGACAGUGGAACUCCCGGUGGAGCGGUGAAAUGCGUAGAUAUCGGGAGGAACGCCGGUGGCGAAAGCGACUGUCUGGGGUGCCUGUGACGCUGAGGCGCGAAAGCCAGGGGAUCAAACGGG